rnacentral:lncRNA from 1 species
UCAUCUAGAAGUUGGACAUACUUUAUUUCUUUUCUUCUUCUUCUUCCUUUCCUCUCCUGCGUCGACCUCAUCUCCUCCUCCUCUUCUCCUCUUCUUCUCUUCCUCUUUCUUCUUCUUCUUCUUCUUUCUUUCUUUCCUUUUUCUUUCUUUCUUUCCCUUUCUUCUUCCCUGCAACUGGGUCUGCGUCACUGCCAGCUCCUCCUCUAGCUCAUCGCGCCACCACAGCCCCUUCUGCUUUCGAUCGAGCAAGCGCCGCGCCUCACCCAGCUCGUCACGCCAUCGCCACCGCCUAGCCGCCGCUCCAGCACGCCUCCGAUCACCAAGCUAGCAGAAAUUCAACAAAAAAAAUUAUAUCGGGGUAUAAAUUAAUUUAAAUACAUUUUAGUUAAUUAAUUUAAUUUUAUUAAUGAUAGUUAAUUAAAUUUAGUUAGUUUAAUUUUAAUAAUUUUAGUUGAUUUAGUUAAUGUUAAUAAUAUUAGUUAAUUAAAUUAAGUUUAUUAUUUGCAGUUAAUUAAUUUAGUAGUAUUAGUUAAUGAAAUUAAUUUUAUUAUUUGUAGUCAAUUAGUUUAGUUAAGUUAAUGUUAGUAAUGUUAGUUAAUUAAAUUAAUUUUAUUUGUAGUUAAUUAAUUUGGUUAAUUUAAUUUGGUCAUUGUGAGUAGUUAAUAGCUUUAUAAUAUUAGUGUUGAUAUAAUUAAGGUAGUUUAAAAAUAAUGUUAUUGUAAUGUAUAAAUUGGAUUGUGUGGUGAUGUUGAGAUUGAAGGAGGAUGGGAAAAUGUCAUUUGAUUAAUUGCCCGAUGGAUGGGCCGUGUGGUUUGAAAUUAUUAGAUAAACUGUUGAUAUUUUAACAGGUGGAUAAUCCAAAUUUUAGGGGAGAUGCUGCCGAAAAGUCGGUAGAAAAUAAAUUGUAUUUUAGAAACUAAAUUACUUAUAGCGAUUAAAUUAUUCAUAGAAAUUAAAAAUAUAGAAUAAGAUUAUGAGAGGGAUAAAUAAACAAAUAAAUAAAUAAACAAGAGGAACGAAUUUAUAUAUAGUUCAGUGAAUUAAAUACCGACUAAAGUUAUUAACGUUAUGAAUAUUAUAUGAUCAAUCGUAUUAUCAUUAUUAAUAUUAUUAUUAUUAAUCAUAUUAAAUAUUUUGAUUAGUAGUAUCAUAAAAUAUUAAUUACCAAAUAAUUAGACGUUUUACUUAACGAAUAAAUUAGAAGAAAUAAAUCAAAUAAAGAUGCACUAUAGAUAUAAUGAUGCACUAUUUGUUGAUCUUAAAUAAUGCUUGAUUACCUGUGAUGUGAUAUUGCUGUGCCUUGUUUGUGUGGAAUUAGGAUGAAGUGGACCACCAUGGAUUUGUGAGGACGGUCUAUGUGAUAUGGAUCCUGAAUAUGAUAUGAUAUGGAGUUUGACCGUCAGCCGGGUACAUGGGAGAUCGGCGCCCCCGUGUGCACCUGAUGAUAUGGAUUAUAUGGAAAACCACAGGAUGGCUUCUUGUUGUUGCGCACCUGAUGAUCUAGAUUUGAUUGUAGCCCGCAGGGUGGCCUCCUGUUGUGAGCACUUGAUGAUCUAGAUUGGAUGGAGACCACCGGGUUGCCUCCUGUUGGCAUUUUUUUUUUUAAAAAAAAGAGAGAGAAUGGAAAAACAAUGAGAGGACUGGUCAGUGAGGAUUAGACCAGUUGGCCGUAUGGGGGAUCGGCUCCCUGGUGCACAUGUAUGAGAGGGCGAGCCAUGUGUGAGGACGGCUCGUUGGGGUUUUAGGUGGUGCCACUGACUAAUUUCCACGUGAUGUGAUUAUAUGAAUGUGAUAAUAAUUGUGGUUGCUGUUGUAUUGCCAUUUGUGUGACACUGCAUGAUCAUAAAUUUAAUCGAUGAACAAAUAAAAAUAUUUUAGCAUCUGUAUGAUUGUGUGGGGUGAGAGGGUUAUCUAACCCUACUCAUUGAGUUUGGCGCUCACCCCUGCCUACCUAUUUUUUUCCAGGUAAUAGAAGAAAGAAAAAUCCUAUGGAGUUGAGACAUAAGUAUAGAAGACUGUAAACAAUAAAUAAAUGAUGAUGUAAAUAUACAGGUAGAGUUCCGCAAUUGUAUUCUAGUGGGUUGUAGAUGAACUGUACUAGUGGUACAUAAUUGAAAUAAAUUAUUAGGCCUGUAUCCACAAUUAUGAAUAGUAAAUGAGAUUUGCAUAAUAUAGGCUUACUACGGGCUUCGGGGGCCUUAAGCCCACCCAGGUCCUAGUGCCGGUUCGGUCCAUGGAAAUGGGUCGUGACAAUUACAUAUUUUGAUAAAAUUUCAGUUUAGCUUCAUCUGACGAAAAUAAUUGAUGUGGAGAUCAAAAUUAUAUUUUAUAUUAUCGUUAUACAAUGUAAGUCUUGAUUUAUUAGAUUAAUAUCAUAGCAUUGCCAAAUUAUAAAAAUAUUUUGUAGUAUGGUAAAAGCAAA